GACCACCGUGCGGGUCUGCGGACAGCCAGGCUUUCCCGGGAACAGAAUUCCGCAGCCUGAACAAGCGGCGGAAUUGGAGCAUCCGAGAAACUAGGUCUUAACCUGUGCCGGAGUUGCCCUCGCUCUGAGCCUCAGCCUCGGUGCCCGCGGAGAGCAAAGCGCUCUGGGCACUGUAUACAGAAGUUCCGAGGGGACGCGGGUGUUCCCUGCACGGUCCCCUGCCCCCGUUCAGACCUCUGGCCCUGAAGUCUCAGAGAUGCAAGGAAGAGGGUGGCCCGAGCCUCCAGAGAUUCCCAGCCAGGGUCGCAGGAUAACGCGCGGGAAAACACGGGCCUGGAGCACCGCGCUCUCCCGGCGUCGGGCGGAAAGAGAAGAGCAGAAGGGGCCGGAGCGCGGCGGUCGUGGCUAUUGGCGAGACCCGGGAGGCAAAGCGCGUGGAGAGGGGACGCGUGGGAACCGCAGAGGAUAGCGGAGAGCAGCCGGCUCCGGAACGUCUGACUGCGAGCCCCGGCGGUCGUGCGCGCGAGUAACAAAGUGGAACGACCUUCCCUGACCUCAUUUUCAUGACGGCGCGAGCACACCCGGAGCCGGCUACGCACAUUCCGGAGCAGGCGCGCGCCGACACUCACACACUCACACUGGCGCACACACACACACACACACACACACACACACGAGACCCGGGCUGCUGGACCCUGCCCAUGCUUGAGUUCACACCAGCUCCGCCACUGUUCUGGGCACUGCCGGGGCUGUGGACGCUCAAAGAAUAGAUUCUCAUUAGCAUCUUGCUUUGAAUAUCAUUUGCAUUUUAUUCAUUUCAUGUCAAAACGCUCAGAACUCUCCCCAGCCCUCACCUCUCCCCAGAGCUGGAGAG